rnacentral:rRNA from 1 species
UACAGAGGGGGCAAGCGUUGUUCGGAAUUACUGGGCGUAAAGCGUGCGCAGGCGGUUUUGUAAGUCUGUCGUGAAAGCCCCGGGCUCAACCUGGGAAUUGCGAUGGAGACUGCAAGGCUUGAAUCUGGCAGAGGGGGGUAGAAUUCCACGUGUAGCAGUGAAAUGCGUAGAGAUGUGGAGGAACACCGAUGGCGAAGGCAGCCCCCUGGGUCAAGAUUGACGCUCAUGCACGAAAGCGUGGGGAGCAAACAGG